UGGGGAUUAUUGGACAAUGGGCGAAAGCCUGAUCCAGCCAUGCCGCGUGUGUGAAGAAGGUCUUCGGAUUGUAAAGCACUUUAAGUUGGGAGGAAGGGCAGUAAGCGAAUACCUUGCUGUUUUGACGUUACCGACAGAAUAAGCACCGGCUAACUCUGUGCCAGCAGCCGCGGUAAUACAGAGGGUGCAAGCGUUAAUCGGAAUUACUGGGCGUAAAGCGCGCGUAGGUGGUUCGUUAAGUUGCAUGUGAAAGCCCCGGGCUCAACCUGGUAACUGCAUCCAAAACUGGCGAGCUAGAGUAGGGCAGAGGGUGGUGGAAUUUCCUGUGUAGCGGUGAAAUGCGGAGAUAUAGGAAGGAACACCAGUGGCGAAGGCGACCACCUGGGCUCAUACUGACACUGAGGUGCGAAAGCGUGGGGAGCAAACAGG
rnacentral:rRNA from 1 species